rnacentral:rRNA from 1 species
AUUGAACGCUGGCGGAAUGCUUUACACAUGCAAGUCGAACGGUAGAGGGGGCAACCCCUUGAGAGUGGCGAACGGGUGAGUAAUAUAUCGGAACGUGCCCAGUCGUGGGGAUAACGUAGCGAAAGUUACGCUAAUACCGCAUACGAUCUAAGGAUGAAAGCGGGGGAUCGCAAGACCUCGCGCGAUUGGAGCGGCCGAUAUCAGAUUAGGUAGUUGGUGAGGUAAAGGCUCACCAAGCCGACGAUCUGUAGCUGGUCUGAGAGGACGACCAGCCACACUGGGACUGAGCCACGGCCCAGACUCCUACGGGAGGCAGCAGUGGGGAAUUUUGGACAAUGGGCGCAAGCCUGAUCCAGCAAUGCCGCGUGCAGGAUGAAGGCCUUCGGUUGUAAACUGCUUUGUACGGUAACGAAACGGUAGAGGCUCUAAUACAGUUUGCUAAUGACGGUACCGUAAGAAUAAG